rnacentral:rRNA from 1 species
GGAAUAACCUCGGUAAACUGAGGCUAAAUCCGGAUAGAGAAAUUUUCUGGGAUGAUUUUUUCUGUAAAGGUAACACCUAAGGAUGAGUUGGCGGCGGAUUAGGUUGUUGGUGGGGUAAAGGCCCACCAAGCCGAAGAUCCGUAGGGGCCCUGAGAGGGGUAGCCCCGAGAAGGGUACUGAGAUACUGACCCUAGCCCUACGGGGUGCAGCAGGCGCGAAACCUUUACAAUGCACGCAAGUGUGAUAGGGGAAUCCCAAGUGCUCAUACUUUGUAUGGGCUUUUGUUAAGAGUAAACAUCUUAGCGAAUAAGUGGUGGGCAAGACUGGUGCCAGCCGCCGCGGUACACCAGCGCCACGAGUGGUAAUCAUAUUUAUUGGGCCUAAAGCGUCCGUAGCAGGUUUGAAAAGUCUCUUGUGAAAUUGUUAGGCUUAACCUACCAACGUGCAGGAGAUACUAUUGAACUUGGGACCGGGAGGAGCUAGAAGUAUUCGGGGGGGAGCGGUAAAAUGUUAUAAUCCCUCGAGGACUACCUGUGGCGAAGGCGUCUAGCUAGAACGGAUCCGACUGUGAGGGACGAAAGCCAGGGGAGCAAAACGGAUUAGAUACCCGAGUAGUCCUGGCCGUAAACGCUGCGAGCAAGAUGUUGCGCAUCCUCGUGGAUGUGCAGUAUCGAAACGAAGGUGUUAAGCUCGCCGCCUGGGAAGUAUAGUCGCAAGACCGAAACUUAAAGGAAUUGGCGGGGGAGCACCACAAGGGGUGCGGCGUGCGGUUUAAUCUAAUUCAACACAGAGAAUCUCACCAGAGGCGACGGCAGGAUGAAAGUCAGUCUAAAGGGCUUACUUGACGAGCCGAGAGGUAGUGCAUGGCCGCCGUCAGCUCGUGCUGUAAAGUGUCCUGUUAAGUCAGGCAACGAGCGAGACCUGUAUUUAUAAUUGCAAACGAGUCCUUUAGGAUGAUCGUGCACAUUAUAGGGACUGCCUUGGAAACAAGGAGGAAGGUGCAGGCUACGGUAGGUCUGUAUGCUCCGAAUCCUCUGGGCUACACGCGCGCAACAAUGGUUGGGACAAUGGGAUACAACUCCGAAAGGAGAAGUUAAACCUCGAAACCCAAUCCAAGUCCAGAUUGAGGAUUGUAACUCAUCCUCAUGACGAUGGAAUCCCUAGUAAUUGGAAGUUAUCAGCUUCCAGUGAAUGUGUCCCUGCUCCUUGCACACACCGCCCGUCAAACCACUCGAGCAGGGUUUGGAUGAGGAUCAGCCUAUUAGCUGCUUCGAAUCUAAACUCAGUAAGAUGGGUUAAGUCGUCACAAGGUA